CGCUUGCAGACCCAGUUCUUGAUUCACUUCUCUUAACAGGGAGACAACAACCUGAUCGUGAUGUCUGAGUGCUUUUAUUCUCAGGCCAUGAUCCUGUCAUCUCGAAGGUCGAUCGGUACCUCAAUUUCAAGUCUUAGAUGAGCAGUUCACUAGUUGAGCUGAUCAUGCUGAGAUAUUGAUUUUCAGUUUCUAAACGUUGUCUAGGUCACCCCCAUAGAGGGUUCACUUCCUGGGCCAUUAGCUCAGGUGGUUAGAGCGCACCCCUGAUAAGGGUGAGGUCCCUGGUUCAAGUCCAGGAUGGCCCAUUCCAAAAUCCAGUUUUGGAUGAUUUUGGGGGUUUAGCUCAGUUGGUAGAGCGCCUGCUUUGCAAGCAGGAUGUCAGGAGUUCGAGUCUCCUAACCUCCACUGACCGAACUGUAUCCCCAUCUCCAAGAUGUUGGAGUUGAGCUCGAUUGGAGUGUGAUUUAGAUGUGUCCGCUGGAAGACCCCAGCUUCCUGUCAUUCCAAAGACAAGUAAAAAGUUUACUUGUUGACUUUGGUUGAUAAGAUGCCGGGCUCAAAUGAGUUGAUCAAGCAAUUGAUCAAUUGAUUUGAAGUUCUAGCAGAACCUUGACAACUGCAUAGGUAAGUCUGGAAAGAAUAAAGCAUCUCAUGGAUGAUGCGAUGAUUCUUUUCUGUGAUCCGAAAGGAUGAUGGAGAAGGAGAGUUGCAAAUUCUAUCGAGCAAGAGCCGAGACUCCAUCACGUUCUUUCAAUUGUGUCGAGCAAUUGCGAGUUUGAUUCUUGAUUCAGCAAUGAAUCAGGGAGAAUCUGUUUCAACGACAGCAAGCGUGUUGGAGAUUAUAUGGUCAAGCUACAAAGAGCUCACGGCGGAUACCUUGGCACACAGAGGCGAUGAAGGA
rnacentral:tRNA from 1 species